rnacentral:rRNA from 1 species
ACUAAGCGUACACGGUGGAUGCCCUGGCAGUCAGAGGCGAUGAAGGGCGUGCUAAUCUGCGAUAAGCGCCGGUAAGGUGAUAUGAACCGUUAUAACCGGCGAUACCCGAAUGGGGAAACCCAGUGUGAUUCGUCACACUAUCAUUAACUGAAUCCAUAGGUUAAUGAGGCGAACCGGGGGAACUGAAACAUCUAAGUACCCCGAGGAAAAGAAAUCAACCGAGAUUCCCCCAGUAGCGGCGAGCGAACGGGGAGGAGCCCAGAGCCUGAAUCAGCAUGUGUGUUAGUGGAAGCGUCUGGAAAGGCGCGCGAUACAGGGUGACAGCCCCGUACACAAAAGCGCAUGUGCUGUGAGCUCGAUGAGUAGGGCGGGACACGUGGUAUCCUGUCUGAAUAUGGGGGGACCAUCCUCCAAGGCUAAAUACUCCUGACUGACCGAUAGUGAACCAGUACCGUGAGGGAAAGGCGAAAAGAACCCCGGCGAGGGGAGUGAAAAAGAACCUGAAACCGUGUACGUACAAGCAGUGGGAGCACAGGUUUACCUGUGUGACUGCGUACCUUUUGUAUAAUGGGUCAGCGACUUAUAUUCUGUAGCAAGGUUAACCGNAUAGGGGAGCCGGAGGGAAACCGAGUCUUAAUUGGGCGUUAAGUUGCAGGGUAUAGACCCGAAACCCGGUGAUCUAGCCAUGGGCAGGUUGAAGGUUGGGUAACACUAACUGGAGGACCGAACCGACUAAUGUUGAAAAAUUAGCGGAUGACCUGUGGCUGGGGGUGAAAGGCCAAUCAAACCGGGAGAUAGCUGGUUCUCCCCGAAAGCUAUUUAGGUAGCGCCUCGUGAAUUCAUCUCCGGGGGUAGAGCACUGUUUCGGCUAGGGGGCCAUCCCGGCUUACCAACCCGAUGCAAACUGCGAAUACCGGAGAAUGUUAUCACGGGAGACACACGGCGGGUGCUAACGUCCGUCGUGAAGAGGGAAACAACCCAGACCGCCAGCUAAGGUCCCAAAGUCAUGGUUAAGUGGGAAACGAUGUGGGAAGGCCCAGACAGCCAGGAUGUUGGCUUAGAAGCAGCCAUCAUUUAAAGAAAGCGUAAUAGCUCACUGGUCGAGUCGGCCUGCGCGGAAGAUGUAACGGGGCUAAACCAUGCACCGAAGCUGCGGCAGCGACGCUUAUGCGUUGUUGGGUAGGGGAGCGUUCUGUAAGCCUGUGAAGGUGGCCUGUGAGGGUUGCUGGAGGUAUCAGAAGUGCGAAUGCUGACAUAAGUAACGAUAAAGCGGGUGAAAAGCCCGCUCGCCGGAAGACCAAGGGUUCCUGUCCAACGUUAAUCGGGGCAGGGUGAGUCGACCCCUAAGGCGAGGCCGAAAGGCGUAGUCGAUGGGAAACGGGUUAAUAUUCCCGUACUUGGUGUUACUGCGAAGGGGGGACGGAGAAGGCUAUGUUGGCCGGGCGACGGUUGUCCCGGUUUAAGCGUGUAGGUGUGUGUUCCAGGUAAAUCCGGUUCACUUUAACACUGAGGCGUGAUGACGAGGCACUACGGUGCUGAAGCAACAAAUGCCCUGCUUCCAGGAAAAGCCUCUAAGCAUCAGGUAACAUCAAAUCGUACCCCAAACCGACACAGGUGGUCAGGUAGAGAAUACCAAGGCGCUUGAGAGAACUCGGGUGAAGGAACUAGGCAAAAUGGUGCCGUAACUUCGGGAGAAGGCACGCUGACANGUAGGUGAAGUGAUUUACUCAUGGAGCUGAAGUCAGUCGAAGAUACCAGCUGGCUGCAACUGUUUAUUAAAAACACAGCACUGUGCAAACACGAAAGUGGACGUAUACGGUGUGACGCCUGCCCGGUGCCGGAAGGUUAAUUGAUGGGGUCAGCGCAAGCGAAGCUCCUGAUCGAAGCCCCGGUAAACGGCGGCCGUAACUAUAACGGUCCUAAGGUAGCGAAAUUCCUUGUCGGGUAAGUUCCGACCUGCACGAAUGGCGUAAUGAUGGCCAGGCUGUCUCCACCCGAGACUCAGUGAAAUUGAACUCGCUGUGAAGAUGCAGUGUACCCGCGGCAAGACGGAAAGACCCCGUGAACCUUUACUAUAGCUUGACACUGAACAUUGAGCCUUGAUGUGUAGGAUAGGUGGGAGGCUUUGAAGUGUGGACGCCAGUCUGCAUGGAGCCGACCUUGAAAUACCACCCUUUAAUGUUUGAUGUUCUAACGUGGACCCGUAAUCCGGGUUGCGGACAGUGUCUGGUGGGUAGUUUGACUGGGGCGGUCUCCUCCUAAAGAGUAACGGAGGAGCACGAAGGUUGGCUAAUCCUGGUCGGACAUCAGGAGGUUAGUGCAAUGGCAUAAGCCAGCUUGACUGCGAGCGUGACGGCGCGAGCAGGUGCGAAAGCAGGUCAUAGUGAUCCGGUGGUUCUGAAUGGAAGGGCCAUCGCUCAACGGAUAAAAGGUACUCCGGGGAUAACAGGCUGAUACCGCCCAAGAGUUCAUAUCGACGGCGGUGUUUGGCACCUCGAUGUCGGCUCAUCACAUCCUGGGGCUGAAGUAGGUCCCAAGGGUAUGGCUGUUCGCCAUUUAAAGUGGUACGCGAGCUGGGUUUAGAACGUCGUGAGACAGUUCGGUCCCUAUCUGCCGUGGGCGCUGGAGAACUGAGGGGGGCUGCUCCUAGUACGAGAGGACCGGAGUGGACGCAUCACUGGUGUUCGGGUUGUCAUGCCAAUGGCACUGCCCGGUAGCUAAAUGCGGAAGAGAUAAGUGCUGAAAGCAUCUAAGCACGAAACUUGCCCCGAGAUGAGUUCUCCCUGAGACUUAGAGUCUCCUGAAGGAACGUUGAAGACGACGACGUUGAUAGGCCGGGUGUGUAAGCGCAGCGAUGCGUUGAGCUAACCGGUACUAAUGAACCGUGAGGCUUAACC